GAUAAACGCUGGCGGCGUGCCUAACACAUGCAAGUCGAGCGAUUCUCUUCGGAGAAGAGCGGCGGACGGGUGAGUAACGCGUGGGUAACCUGCCCUGUACACACGGAUAACAUACCGGAAGGUAUGCUAAUACGAGAUAAUAUACUUUUAUCGCAUGGGAGAAGUAUCAAAGCUUUUGCGGUACAGGAUGGACCCGCGUCUGAUUAGCUAGUUGGUAGGGUAACGGCUUACCAAGGCGACGAUCAGUAGCCGACCUGAGAGGGUGAUCGGCCACAUUGGAACUGAGACACGGUCCAAACUCCUACGGGAGGCAGCAGUGGGGAAUAUUGCACAAUGGGCGAAAGCCUGAUGCAGCAACGCCGCGUGAGCGAUGAAGGCCUUCGGGUCGUAAAGCUCUGUCCUCAAGGAAGAUAAUGACGGUACUUGAGGAGGAAGCCCCGGCUAACUACGUGCCAGCCGCCGCCGUAAAAC
rnacentral:rRNA from 1 species